UAAGCGCAGAUAAGGCAGUAAGAGCCGUUUGAGUCUGCGAUUUCCGAAUGGGGAAACCCAACUGCAUAAGCAGUUACUGUUAACUGAAUACAUAGGUUAACAGAGCAAACCGGGGGAACUGAAACAUCUAAGUACCCCGAGGAGAAGAAAUCAACCGAGAUUCCGGUAGUAGCGGCGAGCGAACCUGGAUUAGCCCUUAAGCACUCGGUGAAGUAGGUGAACAAGCUGGAAAGCUUGGCGAUACAGGGUGAUAGCCCCGUAACCGACGCUUCAUCGAGCGUGAAAUCGAGUAGGGCGGGACACGUGAUAUCCUGUCUGAAUAUGGGGGGACCAUCCUCCAAGGCUAAAUACUCCUGACUGACCGAUAGUGAACCAGUACCGUGAGGGAAAGGCGAAAAGAACCCCUGUGAGGGGAGUGAAAUAGAACCUGAAACCGUGUACGUACAAGCAGUAGGAGCACCUUCGUGGUGUGACUGCGUACCUUUUGUAUAAUGGGUCAGCGACUUAUAUUCAGUGGCAAGGUUAACCGUAUAGGGGAGCCGUAGCGAAAGCGAGUCUUAACUGGGCGCUCAGUCUCUGGAUAUAGACCCGAAACCGGGUGAUCUAGCCAUGGGCAGGUUGAAGGUUGAGUAACAUCAACUGGAGGACCGAACCGACUAAUGUUGAAAAAUUAGCGGAUGACUUGUGGCUAGGGGUGAAAGGCCAAUCAAACUCGGAGAUAGCUGGUUCUCCCCGAAAGCUAUUUAGGUAGCGCCUCGGACGAAUACUACUGGGGGUAGAGCACUGUUAAGGCUAGGGGGUCAUCCCGACUUACCAACCCUUUGCAAACUCCGAAUACCAGUAAGUACUAUCCGGGAGACACACGGCGGGUGCUAACGUCCGUCGUGGAGAGGGAAACAACCCAGACCGCCAGCUAAGGUCCCAAAGUAUUGCUAAGUGGGAAACGAUGUGGGAAGGCUCAGACAGCUAGGAUGUUGGCUUAGAAGCAGCCAUCAUUUAAAGAAAGCGUAAUAGCUCACUAGUCGAGUCGGCCUGCGCGGAAGAUGUAACGGGGCUAAGCAAUACACCGAAGCUGCGGCAAUAUCUUUUAGAUAUUGGGUAGGGGAGCGUUCUGUAAGCCGUUGAAGGUGAAUCGUAAGGUUUGCUGGAGGUAUCAGAAGUGCGAAUGCUGACAUGAGUAACGACAAAGGGGGUGAAAAACCUCCUCGCCGGAAGACCAAGGGUUCCUGUCCAACGUUAAUCGGGGCAGGGUGAGUCGACCCCUAAGGUGAGGCCGAAAGGCGUAAUCGAUGGGAAACGGGUUAAUAUUCCCGUACUUCUGACUAUUGCGAUGGGGGGACGGAGAAGGCUAGGUGGGCCAGGCGACGGUUGUCCUGGUUCAAGUGCGUAGGCUUGAGAGUUAGGUAAAUCCGGCUCUCUCUAAGGCUGAGACACGACGUCGAGCUGCUACGGCAGUGAAGUUAUUGAUGCCAUGCUUCCAGGAAAAGCCUCUAAGCUUCAGAUAGUCAGGAAUCGUACCCCAAACCGACACAGGUGGUCGGGUAGAGAAUACCAAGGCGCUUGAGAGAACUCGGGUGAAGGAACUAGGCAAAAUGGUACCGUAACUUCGGGAGAAGGUACGCUCUUGAUGGUGAAGUCCCUCGCGGAUGGAGCUGACGAGAGUCGCAGAUACCAGGUGGCUGCAACUGUUUAUUAAAAACACAGCACUGUGCAAAAUCGCAAGAUGACGUAUACGGUGUGACGCCUGCCCGGUGCCGGAAGGUUAAUUGAUGGGGUUAGCGCAAGCGAAGCUCUUGAUCGAAGCCCCGGUAAACGGCGGCCGUAACUAUAACGGUCCUAAGGUAGCGAAAUUCCUUGUCGGGUAAGUUCCGACCUGCACGAAUGGCGUAAUGAUGGCCACGCUGUCUCCACCCGAGACUCAGUGAAAUUGAAAUCGCUGUGAAGAUGCAGUGUACCCGCGGCUAGACGGAAAGACCCCGUGAACCUUUACUACAGCUUGGCACUGAACAUUGAACCUACAUGUGUAGGAUAGGUGGGAGGCUAUGAAGACGUGACGCCAGUUGCGUUGGAGCCGUCCUUGAAAUACCACCCUUGUAUGUUUGAUGUUCUAACUUAGACCCAUUAUCUGGGUUGAGGACAGUGCCUGGUGGGUAGUUUGACUGGGGCGGUCUCCUCCCAAAGAGUAACGGAGGAGCACGAAGGUGGGCUAAUCACGGUUGGACAUCGUGAGGUUAGUGCAAUGGCAUAAGCCCGCUUAACUGCGAGAAUGACGGUUCGAGCAGGUGCGAAAGCAGGUCAUAGUGAUCCGGUGGUUCUGUAUGGAAGGGCCAUCGCUCAACGGAUAAAAGGUACUCCGGGGAUAACAGGCUGAUACCGCCCAAGAGUUCAUAUCGACGGCGGUGUUUGGCACCUCGAUGUCGGCUCAUCACAUCCUGGGGCUGAAGUCGGUCCCAAGGGUAUGGCUGUUCGCCAUUUAAAGUGGUACGCGAGCUGGGUUUAGAACGUCGUGAGACAGUUCGGUCCCUAUCUGCCGUGGGCGUUGGAAGAUUGAAGGGGGCUGCUCCUAGUACGAGAGGACCGGAGUGGACGAACCUCUGGUGUUCGGGUUGUGUCGCCAGACGCAUUGCCCGGUAGCUAAGUUCGGAAUUGAUAAGCGCUGAAAGCAUCUAAGCGCGAAGC
rnacentral:rRNA from 1 species